UUUAGAGUUUGAUCCUGGCUCAGAUUGAACGCUGGCGGCAGGCCUAACACAUGCAAGUCGAACGGUAACAGGAAGCAGCUUGCUGCUUCGCUGACGAGUGGCGGACGGGUGAGUAAUGUCUGGGAAACUGCCUGAUGGAGGGGGAUAACUACUGGAAACGGUAGCUAAUACCGCAUAACGUCUUCGGACCAAAGAGGGGGACCUUCGGGCCUCUUGCCAUCGGAUGUGCCCAGAUGGGAUUAGCUUGUUGGUGGGGUAACGGCUCACCAAGGCGACGAUCCCUAGCUGGUCUGAGAGGAUGACCAGCCACACUGGAACUGAGACACGGUCCAGACUCCUACGGGAGGCAGCAGUGGGGAAUAUUGCACAAUGGGCGCAAGCCUGAUGCAGCCAUGCCGCGUGUAUGAAGAAGGCCUUCGGGUUGUAAAGUACUUUCAGCGGGGAGGAAGGCGAUAAGGUUAAUAACCCUCGU
rnacentral:rRNA from 1 species